CGGACGGGUGAGUAACGCGUGGGUAACCUGCCUCACACAGGGGGAUAGCAGUUGGAAACGGCUGAUAAUACCGCAUAAGCGCACAGUACCGCAUGGUACAGUGUGAAAAACUCCGGUGGUGUGAGAUGGACCCGCGUCUGAUUAGCUAGUUGGCGGGGUAACGGCCCACCAAGGCAACGAUCAGUAGCCGACCUGAGAGGGUGACCGGCCACAUUGGGACUGAGACACGGCCCAG
rnacentral:rRNA from 1 species